UGGAAGGGUGGCAGAGAGGUCGAUUGCUUCGGUUUUGAAAACCGGCGUAGCUUCACGGCUACCGAGGGUUCGAAUCCCUCCCCUUCCGA
rnacentral:tRNA from 1 species